AACUCUUAGCGGUGGAUCACUCGGCUCGUGAGUCGAUGAAGAACGCAGCUAGCUGCGAGAACUAAUGUGAAUUGCAGGACACAUUGAUCAUUGACACUUCGAACGUACUUUGCGGCCCCAGGUUCCUCCUGGGGCUACGCCUGUCUGAGGGUCG
ensembl:rRNA 5_8S_rRNA 5.8S ribosomal RNA